GGGUUGUGAGGUUAAGCGACUAAGCGUACACGGUGGAUGCCCUGGCAGUCAGAGGCGAUGAAGGACGUGCUAAUCUGCGAUAAGCGUCGGUAAGGUGAUAUGAACCGUUAUAACCGGCGAUUUCCGAAUGGGGAAACCCAGUGUGAUUCGUCACACUAUCAUUAACUGAAUCCAUAGGUUAAUGAGGCGAACCGGGGGAACUGAAACAUCUAAGUACCCCGAGGAAAAGAAAUCAACCGAGAUUCCCCCAGUAGCGGCGAGCGAACGGGGAGGAGCCCAGAGCCUGAAUCAGUGUGUGUGUUAGUGGAAGCGUCUGGAAAGGCGCGCGAUACAGGGUGACAGCCCCGUACACAAAAAUGCACAUGCUGUGAGCUCGAUGAGUAGGGCGGGACACGUGGUAUCCUGUCUGAAUAUGGGGGGACCAUCCUCCAAGGCUAAAUACUCCUGACUGACCGAUAGUGAACCAGUACCGUGAGGGAAAGGCGAAAAGAACCCCGGCGAGGGGAGUGAAAAAGAACCUGAAACCGUGUACGUACAAGCAGUGGGAGCACAGAGCAAUCUGUGUGACUGCGUACCUUUUGUAUAAUGGGUCAGCGACUUAUAUUCUGUAGCAAGGUUAACCGAAUAGGGGAGCCGAAGGGAAACCGAGUCUUAACUGGGCGUUAAGUUGCAGGGUAUAGACCCGAAACCCGGUGAUCUAGCCAUGGGCAGGUUGAAGGUUGGGUAACACUAACUGGAGGACCGAACCGACUAAUGUUGAAAAAUUAGCGGAUGACUUGUGGCUGGGGGUGAAAGGCCAAUCAAACCGGGAGAUAGCUGGUUCUCCCCGAAAGCUAUUUAGGUAGCGCCUCGUGAAUUCAUCUCCGGGGGUAGAGCACUGUUUCGGCAAGGGGGUCAUCCCGACUUACCAACCCGAUGCAAACUGCGAAUACCGGAGAAUGUUAUCACGGGAGACACACGGCGGGUGCUAACGUCCGUCGUGAAGAGGGAAACAACCCAGACCGCCAGCUAAGGUCCCAAAGUCAUGGUUAAGUGGGAAACGAUGUGGGAAGGCCCAGACAGCCAGGAUGUUGGCUUAGAAGCAGCCAUCAUUUAAAGAAAGCGUAAUAGCUCACUGGUCGAGUCGGCCUGCGCGGAAGAUGUAACGGGGCUAAACCAUGCACCGAAGCUGCGGCAGCGACGCUGAUGCGUUGUUGGGUAGGGGAGCGUUCUGUAAGCCUGCGAAGGUGUGCUGUGAGGCAUGCUGGAGGUAUCAGAAGUGCGAAUGCUGACAUAAGUAACGAUAAAGCGGGUGAAAAGCCCGCUCGCCGGAAGACCAAGGGUUCCUGUCCAACGUUAAUCGGGGCAGGGUGAGUCGACCCCUAAGGCGAGGCCGAAAGGCGUAGUCGAUGGGAAACAGGUUAAUAUUCCUGUACUUGGUGUUACUGCGAAGGGGGGACGGAGAAGGCUAUGUUGGCCGGGCGACGGUUGUCCCGGUUUAAGCGUGUAGGCUGGUUUUCCAGGCAAAUCCGGAAAAUCAAGGCUGAGGCGUGAUGACGAGGCACUACGGUGCUGAAGCAACAAAUGCCCUGCUUCCAGGAAAAGCCUCUAAGCAUCAGGUAACAUCAAAUCGUACCCCAAACCGACACAGGUGGUCAGGUAGAGAAUACCAAGGCGCUUGAGAGAACUCGGGUGAAGGAACUAGGCAAAAUGGUGCCGUAACUUCGGGAGAAGG
rnacentral:rRNA from 1 species